rnacentral:rRNA from 1 species
GUUCUUUUGUUUUUAUAUAAGAUCGGGCCUGCCCAUUGAUUAUAAAUAUUAAAAGGCUGCGGUAUUUUAACUGUACGAAGGUAGCAUAAUCACUUGUCUUUUAAUUGAAGGCUAGAAUGAAUGGUUUGAUGAGAAAUAUACUUUCUUUAGAUAAUUUAUAUGAAUUUAAUUUUUUAGUUAAAAAGCUAAAAUUUUUUUAUAGGACGAGAAGACCCUAUAGAAGUUAACUAUUUUUAUAGACUUUAUUUUUUUGUUUAUAAAUUUAAUUUUUAGAAGAAUUAGUUUUGUUGGGGUGACAAUGGAAUUUUUUUAACUUUCAUUAUUCUUUUCAUUAAUUUAUGUUUUUUUGAUCCGGAUAUUUCGAUUAUAAGAUUAACUUACCUUAGGGAUAACAGCGUAAUCUUUUUGGAGAGUUCAUAUCGAUGAAAAGGUUUGCGA